AUAUGAGUGACACAUCAUCAUACA
rnacentral:siRNA from 1 species